rnacentral:rRNA from 1 species
AACUGAGGGCGCGAGUGUUAUUCGUUUUGAUUGGGUGUAAAGGGUAUGUAGGCGGCCUUGGGUUUUUUGGUUGAAAGCGCGGAGUGUUCCUAUGCGACAACCUUUUUAGUACUGGGCUUGUGUUAGAGAGAGGUCGGGGCAAAUUCUCAUGUAGGGUUAGAAUCCAACAAGAUGCGAAUGAACGCCAAGUAGCGAAGGCACCUUUCCAGCUUUAACAGACGCUGAGGUACGGAAGCGCAGGUAGCAAACAGG